rnacentral:lncRNA from 1 species
GGGCACCCCCAGCCUCAUGGACUGAGAAAAGGGAAGAGGGGGUUCUUCAGUAGGAAGUCGAGGUGCUGUUACCUGAAAAUGGGAGAUAGAUGCUGACUUGUCCACACACCCGCACCUUCUCCCAGCAAACUCUAGCUCGUCUCUGCACAUUGUAUGACCUCAGGCCAACCCCUUCCCCUCUCUGGGUCUUAUGUUCCUCCUCCGGAAAAUGGGCAGGAGGCCGUUUGAAUUCCAACAUUCCAGAAUUCUGGGACAGCUUCCAGGACUGGAGUCAGCUCCCUAGAUCCCAGGAACGUUCCAGCACUUCUGGGGACGGAAGUGGAGCAUCAGCCAGAGCCCUCCCCGGCCCCCGGCCUGGGAACAUGUUUAGAAGAUGACAACUGGGCUCCCUUUGGCCGAAAUUCCACUCCCGUGGGGGCCUUGCCAAGGAAAAUAAGCCCAAGAACCAGGCAUUAAAGAACCAAGAAGUGAAUCACGGCUGGCCCUGCCCUUGAGAAGCUCACAAUCAAGUGAUGGAAACAGACAGCUACAACCCAAGAUGGAAAAUAUUCAGAAGUCAAAGGGAGCUCCAGGCAGGUGCCUUCACAGAAGGGGACUCAGGUCCUUCUAGGGAUUCAGAGAAGGCUCCUUGGAGGAAGCAGCAUCCAAACAGGACUCAUGAAGUCAGAAAAACAGUGAACAAACUCCCUUAGAUAUCCCAGAGGGUAACUCACAGGACCUAACCACCUAGAUGCUCAUUGAGCUCUUUGGAGCAUCCAAGACUGAGAACACCUGUGGCAAAUGUUCACCCAGGAAUUCCCAAACCCAAUGGCUAAUGGAACACUUUCCCCCUUGUCACUCCUAUUAGUACCCCCAGAGACUCUGUGUCCCUCAGAUCUGUGUCCUCAAAAUGGAUAAAUGAUAAAAUAGAUUUGGGAAA